rnacentral:rRNA from 1 species
UACGAAGGGGGCUAGCGUUGUUCGGAAUUACUGGGCGUAAAGCGUGCGCAGGCGGCCUUCCAAGUCAGGGGUGAAAGCCCAGAGCUCAACUCUGGAAUUGCCUUUGAGACUGUGAGGCUUGAGUACGGGAGAGGUGAGUGGAAUUCCCAGUGUAGAGGUGAAAUUCGUAGAUAUUGGGAAGAACACCGGUGGCGAAGGCGGCUUGCCAGAACGCGCUCGACGGUGAGGAUGAAAGCUGGGGAGCAAACCGG